UUCCCCCGUAGUAUGCUCUGGUUACCAGCCAAACAGACGUUGGGUUCUUGUAAGUCUAUUAAUGUAUAAGCAAGAACACUAAUUACUGAUAUAACCGGUAUAACUUGCUGCAAAUUGUGAACAAGUAAAGUAGUAGUUAGAAGUUUUUAAAGUUCCUAUAAACAGAAAUGAGUUUUGGCUGGUAAGCAUCCGUGCAUGCACUAAACAGAAGCAGGUUUUUGAGUAUUGUUAGGUACUAGCAUAUGGACUCUUUCGUCCAUGCCAGCAUCCAGACAUUCUGAAAUGCAAUCUAUGAUGCUCGGUGAAACUUCAUUCGUGUCUUGUGGGAAUCGUAUCUAAAAUGAGAAAGCAUCAUCUGUUAAGCUCCCUUGGGCCUUCUUUUGUAUUGUUCACAAUUUGUAUAGAGAAAAUCUUGUAUACAUUGACGUUGUAUAUGUUAUCAUGGUUAGAUGCAUAAAACAUAUGCAAAAUUUGGAUUUGAAGUUCAAAUUUAGAUUUUUUGCCGUGCAUCCAAACUUGGCAGUAUAUAAAGAUUAAUCCUUUUGUUUAAUGUACAUUGCUUGUCAAUUUUGACAGAAGUAUAUGUCCAAUAAUGCCUUCACAGAACACGUCUAUUUUAAGUUGCGUGGGGUGGGCUGGCUCUGGCUGGUCCUCCUAUUCUUCUGUUACCGAAGCAUAACACCCAAGGAAGACGUAACAAAUGGGACUUCAUGAUUAGCCUUUUCAUGCUUCCCCAGAUGAUAUGUGCCCCUGAUUUAUGAUGUGCUUGCUUAUGGUGUUCUGCAGGGGAAAGUGUCAUGUGAGGUUAAUGUAAAUAUCCACAAUCAGACAAUCGAGCACCAAAACUGUUACCCUGAGUGAUUAUGAUUAAGCUUGGAGACCACAUGCAGCGGCUCCAGAGUUGGCUUUGACAAACUCCCGUUCCUCAUUUAGUAUAGAGGUCUACGAUGAGUGAGAGAUUUGGGUUUGGAUCCCCUGUUUUAGCGUCUUUACUACUAGAUUAUGGCGUAUUACAUUCCCUACAGCUACGGGGAAAAAAAAAAUUAAGGAUGAUGCUGCAGCAUAUGUAUCACGUAUAAACUACGUUGGAUUUGCCUGUAUAUAAACCUUGUGUAGACUAGCAGUGUAUAAUUUCUAAUAGAAACCACCAGUUUGUCUA